rnacentral:tRNA from 1 species
GCCUUCGUGGUGUAGUGGUCAGCACGCUGGGCCGGUAUUCCAGAGGUCCGUGGUUCGAUUCCCGGCGAAGGCG